GUGUAGAAAAAGUCCUGACUCUGCAGACAAGGCUGACAUUACAGACUGCAUCAUAGUUACCUGCCUACCAACUUAUUCUGUCCUUAUUCUGCAGGACAGAAAGCCACAAACACCUUCUAAAUCGCCCUUUAUCUCUCUCUCUUGUAAGUUGCUUCAAGUCACAAAUGCAGCUUUAAUUCAGUGAAUGAAAGUGUCACCUACACACAUUCUCUACUUUCAAGCCCAUAACCAAAAUCGGUGAACAGCGCAAGCUAGUAAACAAAGUAUAAAAUAAAAUUGUAGCCACUUUGAGAGAACUCAAGUUUCUUGAUUAUAAAGAUCAUUUCUAUUCUGUUGUCAAUGGAAAUUUCUGGUAGUGGGUCUAUCUGAUAAGCUUCAAAAACAAUAGUUGUAUUGAGCUGUUGGAAAGGAAGUUGUUAUGACCAGAUUGCUUCCUGUAGUGAACAAAGGGCUUUUGCUGACACGGCAACUUCAUGGUUACAGAGACAAGCCUGCAAAUUUCAUCCUUCAGAAGUGAGUUGUUGAUGUUGUUGCUUAAUUUCACUAUUUCAAGAGGUAACAGAAAUCUUUAGACUUACUUCCUAAGCUACAAAUGUUACAAAGCCCAUGUGGAUAUCACCUUAAGGCUAAGAAUAAAGGGCAAAGCCCACACCUGGUCAAGGAUGCAGGGUUUGGAAAUGAAUGCAAGGAUUUGUUCACCUGAAAGAUGUUUUUAACAAGUUGAAUGGAUGUUUCAGGUUAAAAGGCUGAGUCUUGGGAAUGAAUGCAUGGAAAAAAAUAGGAUACUUUAUCUUUCACAUCCUUCCUUUCUCUUUUGUCCUUGGUGUUGAGGGCGUCAUUGGUAGACAGAAUAAAACGGGUCACUGUUGUGAGGAUCAGGAGGUUCUAAAGCAGGUGUGCUCUCCCCUGAGCACUUUCUCUAUGACAGACCCGUUUCCCAGAGUGGUUAAAGCCAUGACAGAAAAACCCCGGAGGAAUUACUGUGGAUCACCUGAGGCUACUUUNNNNNNNNNNNNNNNNNNNNNNNNNNNNNNNNNNNNNNNNNNNNNNNNNNNNNNNNNNNNNNNNNNNNNNNNNNNNNNNNNNNNNNNNNNNNNNNNNNNNNNNUGAUGAGACAUCAGGGAGAAGACCUGAUGCAAGUCCAGGAAGGAGCACAGAAGAGAGAUGUUAAUGAGAAGAAAGAAUUCAGUUUAGUAAUCAGGCAUUCGUUUUGCUUCAACUCCGACUGGGGACAGUUUGCCUUAAUACCUAAAUAGAAUAAACCCCAGCUCGGGUUUUAAAAAAAGAAAUUAGUCAUAUAUUAGACAUACAUUGGAGAGUAACUAUAUCAUUCUUCCUUUGAAAAUAGAAGGAAAUCACUGAAACAGAACUGGUUACAUAAUUUGCAAUGUCCAGCGCAAAAUGAAAAUGCAGGGCUCAAAACAAAGAAUUCCAAGAGGGCAACAGCAGAGCGUUAAAUCAGGCAAGGGGCCCUUCUGAGUACAGGUCCUGCGUGACUGCUCUAGACAUACACCCAAGAAACCAAUGCUGCCCAACAAUUAAGAUCAGAUUUGGAUGGAUUCAAUAAAGCAUUGAGGGUGGGGGGGAAAUCCCAGAUGUCAACUCUCACUCUAAAAGUUCAGGAGGGAGAGCUUGACUAUUGAAAGCACACCCAGUUACCCUCUGCGUUUAUCUGAACUUCAAUAGGUCAGGACGAUGCCAUCGAUUCUACUUCCAGUCCUGGUAUUUUACCAUUCCAACAGAUCACAGCCUGCCCACUAUGAACAAUGAGAGCUUGGAAGGACAUCAUAUACAGCUCUCAAACCCGGAAAAGGCUGAAAAUGUGUUCUACAUAGUUUCAGCUCUCUUUAAAUACUUUUGCUACACUGUGAGUCCCAAGUAAAUCUAUGCUUUCAUUGUUAUGAAUUAGUAGUUUCGGUUCUGGAGUAAAGUGAAAAUACUACUGAUAUAAUUCACUCUUUAUUUCAAGCACUUCUAAAACACCAGCAUAAAUGCUAUCAUUUUAUUUUAAAGGUUAAAAAUUAGCUAAAUUAAAUAUUGAAUAUCUUUAAAUAUAAAAGUUUAUAGAUUUAUUAGAUAUCAAAUAAAAAUGAAAAUUAAUAAAAUAUAAAUGUUAAACAUUCAUUAUCCAUGUGAUAAAAAUUUUCCAUAAAUUGUUCAAAAUAUUUAAAAAUACAUUAAACACUAUAUUUGAAUUAAGAUAAUUGAAUUAAGGGUGAUCCAGUGGCUAAGACUCUGUACNNNNNNNNNNNNNNNNNGGGUUUGACCCCUGCUCAGGAAACUAGAUCCCACAUGCCAUAAUUAAGAAUCCACAUGCUGCAACAAAGAUCAAGGAUCCAACAUGCCACAAUUAACACCCAGUGCAGCCAAAUAAAUAAAUAUUUUUUAAAAGAUAAAUGAAUUAACCAUGAAAAGUCAGAAAUAAAGUAUACAAUUUUCUGUUUUUAAAUUUAUCUUUUUAUUGAAGGAUAAUUGCUUUACAAAAUUUUGUUGUUUUCUGUCAAA
ensembl:lncRNA